AGCGAACGCUGGCGGCAGGCCUAACACAUGCAAGUCGAGCGGCCGUAGCAAUACGGCAGCGGCAGACGGGAGAGUAACACGUGGGAACGUGCCCUUUGGUUCGGAAUAACGCAGGGAAACUUGCGCUAAUACCGAAUAAGCCCUUACGGGGAAAGAUUUAUCGCCAUUGGAGCGGCCCGCGUCUGAUUAGCUAGUUGGUGGGGUAACGGCUCACCAAGGCGACGAUCAGUAGCNGGUCUGAGAGGAUGAUCAGCCUCACUGGGACUGAGACACGGCCCAGACUCCUACGGGAGGCAGCAGUGGGGAAUAUUGGACAAUGGGCGCAAGCCUGAUCCAGCAAUGCCGCGUGAGUGAGGAAGGCCUUAGGGUUGUAAAGCUCUUUCACCCACGACGAUGAUGACGGUAGUGGGAGAAGAA
rnacentral:rRNA from 1 species